AUUAUAAGUUCAAUCUUGACUUUACACUAGCUCUAGUGUUCUUUACAUCACUUUAUGUUGCAAACUUAUGCAAUCGUUGUUCUUUACUUUUUCUUUUACUUUUGCUAACUCUAGCAAUUAUAUUUUUUACAUUCUUUACUUUUGGCUACCUCUAGCACUUCGUGUUCUUUACUCCCCACAUUACUUUAACUUUAAACAUUGUCAUUUUCUUUAUUCUUUACAUUACAUUGGUUCUUUACCUCACACUAUCUCUAGUGUCGUUUCACUUUAACUUUAUC
rnacentral:lncRNA from 1 species